UUUUUAGACCUGUGCAAUUGAUAUUUUAGGCAAUGCUUCAGGGUGGGAACACAGCAGAGCCCCUAAAAUAUUUGUGUGCCAUAGUUAUCUGGAAAGGG
rnacentral:SRP_RNA from 1 species